rnacentral:rRNA from 1 species
UACGGGGGGGGGCAAGCGUUGUUCGGAAUUACUGGGCGUAAAGGGCGCGUAGGCGGCCUGAUAAGUAGGGGGUGAAAUCCUGCGGCUUAACCGCAGGGCUGCCUUCUAGACUGUCAGGCUAGAGCACAGUAGAGGCAGGUGGAAUUCCCGGUGUAGCGGUGGAAUGCGUAGAGAUCGGGAAGAACAUCAGUGGCGAAGGCGGCCUGCUGGGCUGUUGCUGACGCUGAGGCGCGACAGCGUGGGGGAGCAAACAGGG